UACGUAGGGUCCGAGCGUUGUCCGGAAUUACUGGGCGUAAAGAGCUCGUAGGUGGUUUGUCGCGUUGUCCGUGAAAACUCACAGCUCAACUGUGGGCGUGCGGGCGAUACGGGCAGACUGGAGUACUGCAGGGGAGACUGGAAUUCCUGGUGUAGCGGUGGAAUGCGCAGAGUAUCAGGAGGAACACCGAUGGCGAAGGCAGAUCUCUGGGCCGUAACUGACGCUGGAGGAGCGAAAAGCAUGGGGAGCGAACAGG
rnacentral:rRNA from 1 species